UUGAAAGGGAAACGAUUGAAGUCAGUCAUGCUUGUAGGGAAUCAACAUGGUGGUCUUCUUCCUUGUGCACUUCCCUGCUUGGCAGGUUAGCAUUAAUUUUGAUUGUCAUUAAAGAAUCGGGGGAAUGUGGCUUCUUCGGGAGUGUUAUAGACCUCGGUAGAUGUGGCGAUCGGGAUUGAGGAUUGCAGCGAAUGCUUCUAGGCUAGUCACCUGGCUUCUGACGGUUGCCUUGCUUCCGAUAGCUUGCUAACGGUGGUGAGACUCGAUUGUCUAGAUGUUAGUGUGAUCAUAAAUUCGCUAAGGAUGCUGACGUAAUGGCUUUAAACGACCCGUCUUGAAACACGGACCA
rnacentral:rRNA from 1 species